AGUUUGUGCACAUGUAAAAUAUCAUUAGCUUGCAUUUAAUAUCCUUUAACAUUAAUGGAUAUUGCAUACAUAUCAUGGAUACAGUAAAAUACCCACUAAAUGUAAUCCUGUCUAAUUCCUAUAAAGCCUAUAAGAUUAGCCAGCUUUUCGAAGCCAUUGUUCUCUCACUACUAGGAUGGAUACAGAAUACAUAAAAAUGUGUAAUGUCCCCCUGCCUUAUCAAAGCAACAAUAAUACUUAGCUGUUACAUUGCAUCUACUGUGAGAAAGGAAUUAGAUGAAUUACGGGAUGACAAUCCUUUCUUAUGACAGUAAAUCGUGUGUUAACAUUGCUAAGAAGACUACACUCAGGAAUACUGAAAGUGCCUUCAAGGGAAUCAGACUAGUCUUAUAAUAAGCUGCUUUGCUUUUUUUUUUUUUUUUUUUAAACAUAAAGUUGAUUUAACAUAUGCAGGAGGAUUACGUUUUCACAAGGCAAAUUACUAGUUUGGGCUCCACCUCCAUUCUCUUCAUCAUACAUAUGGUGAAUAAGGCCAAGAAAACUCAUUGUUCUGGGACCCUUGUGUAACUCACUGGCCCUAGACUACCGCCAAAGGUCUCCAUAUUGUUAAUCAUAUGGGGGUAGGGCGGCAUUUUAUUUGGGAGGGGGCAUUUUAUGAUAGCGUCCUGUUCUGAGUACUUGGUCCUAUUUAAUUUCCUAAUAGAAAAGUGUAGGAAGAGAUAAAUUAAUCCAUGUAUCCAUUCAUUCAUAUAGCUCUGUCUACCUGUGUCCAUCCAUCCAUGCAAGAUAUCAACAUUGAACCUCUACGUCUUCAUUGAUUUUAAUAUUUUUUAAUAUUAAUUAUUUAUAUGAGAGGCAUUACUUUCAGUGAUAUUUGUAAUAUUAUGUUUAGUUAUCCUGUAUAUAAGUCCCAUAUAUAAGUGCCAUCCUUUGCACAUGAUAGUCAGCAUUGAGAGAAAAUGGCCAGGGCUGAACUGGCUUAUGAGAUCAGCAGUUAAAUCGUUAAUAUACAUUUAAAAGAAAAAGGGGCAUCACCUAAAAAAGGAUGACACAAUUUAUAUAUGAUUGUUAAAGUUUUAUGAAUUUCCAGAUUUUGUGGUUAUCAGGUGCAGAACAAUAUUAUAAUCCGCUGAUCUAUGCCAUGCCAUUAGUAAUCUGUAUCACCCAUUUCUUGUUUUUUUUCUAUAUAUUAUUUAUUUGAAAUAUUUUCUUUUCCUAAGAAACUUAUAUUUAAACCGUAAUGAGUUGAAAACUCAUGAACACAUCUUCUAGAUGAACAUUGUUAAGGCAAACAUCGAGUGCGCCUAGCAACAUUAAACCUUGCUGUGUUUUGUCAAGGCUUAACAAAGAAAUCUAUCAUGUCUAAACAUUGCCUGGUCCAUUUAUCGAAUGUUUGAAUAAGCCGUGUUCAUAUUGUAGUGAGGAGGAAUUUCUAACGUGCAUAGGAAAACAGUUCUAAAGAAAAGACACAGGAUUUUACCACUGCAUUAAUCACAUUGAUACACCAUAUUAACUACAUUUUAGAUUUUCAGAUUGAUUGAUUUUAAGGGAGACAUUGCCAUUUGGUCCUACACAUGCAUUGUUAAUAAACUCCCAUUUAUGUGUCUAUUGAUUUAAUCUUGACAACAAAACCAAUUCCCUAGGCUAAUGCUGAGUAAAUACAUUGACAGAUAACAGAGAUAGACAGACAGAUAGAUAGACAGAUAGAUAGAUAGAUACAUUUUAUAUGCAGAUAAUGUAAAAAUCAUCAGCAUGACUUUGAUGGCAAUAACUCCCACCUGCCAAGACGCAUCUGUCCCCCAUUCCUUACUAAUAGGAGGUGACAAGUGACAAUACUGUAUUAGCUGUUCACACAGUUCACUUGGCUUUUAACCUCUGACAUGCUGAAAAGUCUGUUAACAUUUCCCUUGAGGAAAAUGCAUUUGAGAAAAUUCAUUAGACUGUAGAUGACUCCCCAUGUAAAGACCUUACCUUAAUAAAUUACAGUUUUGCUAAUUAUUACUGUGAUCAUGGCAUUUCAUGCUAUGGUUCCUGUGACUUCCUAAAGUGUAUGUAUAUGUUGUUUUUUUUAACUUGC
rnacentral:lncRNA from 1 species